GAGGAAUAUUGGACAAUGGGCGCAAGCCUGAUCCAGCGACGCCGCGUGAGUGAUGAAGGCCUUUGGGUCGUAAAGCUCUGUCAGCAGGGAAGAACGGCCCCACGGUUAAUACCCGUGGGGAUUGACGGUACCUGCAGAGGAAGCACCGGCUAACUCCGUGCCAGCAGCCGCGGUAAUACGGAGGGUGCGAGCGUUAAUCGGAAUUACUGGGCGUAAAGGGCGCGUAGGCGGCCGAUCAAGUCAGAUGUGAAAGCCCACGGCUUAACCGUGUGAAGUGCAUCUGAAACUGGUCGGCUUGAGUAUCGGAGAGGAAAGUGGAAUUCCCGGUGUAGAGGUGAAAUUCGUAGAUAUCGGGAGGAAUACCGGUGGCGAAGGCGACUUUCUGGACGAAUACUGACGCUGAGGCGCGAAAGCGUGGGGAGCAAAC
rnacentral:rRNA from 1 species